AUUGAACGCUGGCGGCAGGCCUAACACAUGCAAGUCGAACGAGUGGCGGACGGGUGAGUAAUGUCUGGGAAACUGCCUGAUGGAGGGGGAUAACUACUGGAAACGGUAGCUAAUACCGCAUCCCAUCGGACGUGCCCAGAUGGGAUUAGCUAGUAGGGGGGGUAAAGGCUCACCUAGGCGACGAUCCCUAGAUGGUCUGAGAGGAUGACAAGCCAAACUGGAACUGAGACACGGUCCAGACUCCUACGGGAGUCAGCAUUGGGGAAUAUUGCACAAGGGGCGCAAGCCUUAUGCAGCCAUGCCGCGUGUAUGAAGAAGGCCUUCGGGUUGUAAAGUACUUUCAGCGGGGAGGCGUUACCCGCAGAAGAAGCACCGGCUAACUCCGUGCCAGCAGCCGCGGUAAUUC
rnacentral:rRNA from 1 species